GCCGGUUUAGCUCAGUUGGUAGAGCAACUGAUUUGUAAUCAGUGGGUCGGGAGUUCAAGUCUCUCAACCGGCACCA
rnacentral:tRNA from 2 species